CCUGGUAGUCCACGCUGUAAACGAUGAGUACUAAGUGUCGGGGUAACUCGGUACUGAAGUUAACACAUUAAGUACUCCGCCUGAGUAGUACGUACGCAAGUAUGAAACUUAAAGGAAUUGACGGGACUCCGCACAAGCGGUGGAUCAUGUUGUUUAAUUCGAAGAUACACGAAAAACCUUACCAGGUCUUGACAUACUCUGCAAAGCUAUAGAAAUAUAGUGGAGGUUAUCAGGGAUACAGGUGGUGCAUGGUUGUCGUCAGUUCGUGUCGUGAGAUGUUAGGUUAAGUCCUAAAACGAACGCAACCCCUGUCGCUAGUUGCCAGCACGUAAUGGUGGGGACUUUAGCGAGACUGCCAAUUAAACAUUGGAGGAAGGUGGGGAUAACGUCAAAUCAUCAUGCCCCUUAUGAUCUGGGCUACAAACGUGAUACAAUGGCUAUUACAAAGAGUAGCUGAAACGCGAGUUUUUAGCCAAUCUCAAAAAGGUAGUCUCAGUACGGAUUGAAGUCUGCAACUCGACUUCAUGAAGCUGGAAUCGCUAGUAAUCGCGAAUCAGCAUGUCGCGGUGAAUACGUUCUCGGGGUUUGUACACACCGCCCGUCAAACCACGAAAGUUAGCAAUACCCGAAAGCAGUGGCUUAACUUCGCAAGAAGAGGGAGCUGUCUAAGGUAGGGUUGAUGAUUGGGGUUAAGUCGUAACAAGGUAUCCUUACCGGAAGGUGAGGAUGGAUCACCUCCUU
rnacentral:rRNA from 1 species